ACUGCGUGGCUGGCGAGAUGGUAACGCCAAGGCGGGGAGCAGCUUCACAGCUCAUCGCCCUCAGCCCAGCAACCGCCUGAGACCCGCCGUGCCCGUUCCAAGCGCUCACUGGCUGCCCGCUGCCUCUCUGCCAGGGGUGGGGAGCAGCGUGGGGGCUCCUCGGGGACCCACGGGCUUCCCUCCGCCAUCCUCCGAGGCGGCCUGUCCCCACACACACGUGUCUGGGAAAGUGAAUGAGCACCAUGUAACCAGACAGCUAUAA
rnacentral:lncRNA from 1 species